GCUUCGCGGCCUCCGCGGGCCCCGCCUGCUCUAGCAGCACCCCUGGGGUCUGGGUCCCCUGUGUCGCCCCCGUCCGCCUGCAGCGCCCGGCGCCCGCCCAGGAGCGCGCAGCUGGGGUGCUGGGGAUAUAUCGGUGGGCGAGAGAAACCACGGUCCUUGUACCCGCUGAUCCUGUAGCCUAGUGGAUGGAGCCCAGAGUGCACGGACCUGCCAGGAAAGAAAAAAAAUUUCCUGAUGGUUGGUCCAAGCAGGGACUCCCCGGUGGAUUGAGGAAUGUCUGGCUUUUCCUCAGCUCAUUGAUCUCUGUGGUGACCACUGGCUGCCCCCAGAAGACCCAAAGAAUGAGAGGGUUGAGGUCUACCAGUUGCUGCUAGAAAUAUUUUUGCCUCUCCAGAAGACAGAAUGCAGCUCCGACAUAGAUUUGUAAGGUACCUAUGGCCCUGUAAAAUUUGAUGAUAAAGCUGAUGCUUAAAAUUCCCCUCCAUCUGUUUUUACCUUCAGGACUUUGAGAAUAUAUCCUUUUAGAAAGACUAUUACAUAUCUUGGGAAUUCUUUGGUUUGUACUUUUAUCAAAAUGCUAUAUUUAGG